GCCUAGUUAGCUUAGUUGGUAGUGCGUCUGCCUUGUAAGCGCUAGGCCGCGGGUUCGAUUCCCGUCCGGGGUG
rnacentral:tRNA from 1 species